rnacentral:rRNA from 1 species
GCUGGCGGCGUGCCUAAUACAUGCAAGUCGAGCGCGGGAAGCAAGCUGAUCCUCUUCGGAGGUGACGCUUGUGGAACGAGCGGCGGACGGGUGAGUAACACGUGGGCAACCUGCCUGUAAGACUGGGAUAACCCCGGGAAACCGGGGCUAAUACCGGAUAAUACUUUUCAUCACCUGAUGAGAAGUUGAAAGGUGGCUUUUAGCUACCACUUACAGAUGGGCCCGCGGCGCAUUAGCUAGUUGGUGAGGUAACGGCUCACCAAGGCAACGAUGCGUAGCCGACCUGAGAGGGUGAUCGGCCACACUGGGACUGAGACACGGCCCAGACUCCUACGGGAGGCAGCAGUAGGGAAUCUUCCGCAAUGGACGAAAGUCUGACGGAGCAACGCCGCGUGAGUGAUGAAGGUUUUCGGAUCGUAAAGCUCUGUUGUUAGGGAAGAACAAGUGCCGUUCGAAUAGGGCGGCACCUUGACGGUACCUAACCAGAAAGCCCCGGCUAACUACGUGCCAGCAGCCGCGGUAAUACGUAGGGGGCAAGCGUUGUCCGGAAUUAUUGGGCGUAAAGCGCGCGCAGGCGGUCCUUUAAGUCUGAUGUGAAAGCCCACGGCUCAGCCGUGGAGGGUCAUUGGAAACUGGAGGACUUGAGUACAGAAGAGGAGAGUG